CACGUAGGGUGCGAGCGUUGUCCGGAAUUAUUGGGCGUAAAGAGCUCGUAGGCGGUGUGUCGCGUCGGCCGUGAAAACCUGCAGCUUAACUGUGGGCGUGCGGUCGAUACGGGCAUCACUGGAGUUCGGCAGGGGAGACUGGAAUUCCUGGUUUAGCGGUGAAAUGCGCAGAUAUCAGGAGGAACACCGGUGGCGAAGGCGGGUCUCUGGGCCGAUACUGACGCUGGAGGAGCGAAAAGCGUGGGGGAGCGAAACAGGG
rnacentral:rRNA from 1 species